rnacentral:rRNA from 1 species
GAUGAACGCUGGCGGCGUGCCUAAUACAUGCAAGUCGAGCGAACAGACGAGAGUGCUUGCACUCUCUGACGUUAGCGGCGGACGGGUGAGUAACACGUGGGUAACCUACCUAUAAGACUGGGAUAACUUCGGGAAACCGGAGCUAAUACCGGAUAAUAUUUUGCUUCGCAUGAAGCAAUAGUGAAAGACGGUUCUGCUGUCACUUAUAGAUGGACCCGCGGUGUAUUAGCUAGUUGGUGAGGUAACGGCUCACCAAGGCAACGAUACAUAGCCGACCUGAGAGGGUGAUCGGCCACACUGGGACUGAGACACGGCCCAGACUCCUACGGGAGGCAGCAGUAGGGAAUCUUCCGCAAUGGACGAAAGUCUGACGGAGCAAUGCCGCGUGAGUGAAGAAGGUUUUCGGAUCGUAAAACUCUGUUGUAAGGGAAGAACAAGUACGUUAGUAACUGAACGUACCUUGACGGUACCUUACCAGAAAGCCACGGCUAACUUCGUG